rnacentral:rRNA from 1 species
GGUCUCAGUUCAGAUUGCAGGCUGCAACCCGCCUGCAUGAAGUCGGAAUUGCUAGUAAUCGCGGAUCAGCAUGCCGCGGUGAAUACGUUCCCGGCCUUGUACACACCGCCCGUCACACCAUGGGAGCCGGUAAUACCCGAAGUCAGUAGUCCAACCUCGUGAGGACGCUGCCGAAGGUAGGAUUGGCGACUGGGGUGAAGUCGUAACAAGGUACC